CAGCCGCCGCGGGAAUACGUAGGGUGCGAGCGUUAAUCGGAAUUACUGGGCGUAAAGCGUGCGCAGGCGGUUAUAUAAGACAGAUGUGAAAUCCCCGGGCUCAACCUGGGACCUGCAUUUGUGACUGUAUAGCUAGAGUACGGUAGAGGGGGAUGGAAUUCCGCGUGUAGCAGUGAAAUGCGUAGAUAUGCGGAGGAACACCGAUGGCGAAGGCAAUCCCCUGGACCUGUACUGACGCUCAUGCACGAAAGCGUGGGGAGCAAACAGGAUUAGAUACCCCCGUAGUCCCUGUCUCUUAUCC
rnacentral:rRNA from 1 species